rnacentral:lncRNA from 1 species
GGCUAUUAUGCAUGUCCUGAAGCACGGAAAGCAGCAUUUCAACUUGGGAUACUACAAAUAGAUCAUAGCAAAGUCUUAUCGCACGAAACGACAUCACUGCUUUAAGCAGGUAGCUGUAGAUGGAAGACCCUCAGCGAAGACCAACCAGAAGUGGAGCUCAGCCAAGAGGGUGAGCACUUAAACAGUUACAACUGUUUUGCAGGCUUUGCCUCAACUUCCACAGGUGUCCUUAGUAUUAGUCAGGCAGGUUGUGGGCAGUUUUCAGGCGCUGAUUCUCUUCAUCCAUCAGCACGCGUGACCCCCUUGUCUCAGUCUUCUCAGAUCUGCUCCAAAUUCACCUCUCUCUCUUUUCCACAUUUCAGCCCAGGCACAACAUUGCAGAAAAUAUACCUUAGAAUAAAUUUUGGAUAAUGUAAACUGAAUCCCACCAUGUGCCACAUCUCUGAGCCCUGUGUAACUGAUUAGCCCAGAAGGAGCCAAAUCAUUUACUUCUCUAGGAGGCUGGAUUGAUGACAUCUGCUUAAAGUUCUUUGAGUCCUUAAUGACAUUCAGUCUGAAAAGGGGAAAGUUGAAGGCAAUUUCAAGAUUCUACCCUCAAAAGGAAGAUCUUCAUGGCUUUACAUGCUGAAGAAAACCAGCUAAAGAUAUUAUCAGAAAAGGAAGAAGUGGGUAGAAGAAUUUAAAACAAAAACCAGAAACCAAACCAAUAACUGGAAGCAGAUUUUCGGUCAAUAUCCCGAUACUACUACCACUACUGCCACCCCACCACCAAUAACAAGAAGGACAACAACAGUCAAGCUUCACUUUUAUCAUGCCAGAAAGGUUCCCAAUGCUUUAUAAUAAAUUAUGUACAAAUGUAGUGGUUUCUCCAUAUAUGUAGAUCACCUAUAUUAUUUUUUACUUAACAUAUUUUUUAAAAUGGGUGUAGCCCAAAUAUUCCUAUUUACUUAAGCCUCCUCUUGAGAGUUGUUAUCCUUGAAAGAAUGGAUAUGUUUUUAUUGCCAUUUUGUCACUUUUUCCUUUUUUGGGGUAUUUUAGUAGUUCUUCUCAGUUCCUUUCUUUUUCUCUUGCUCUCUUCCCUUGUGGUUUGAUGGCUAUCUUUAGUAAUUUGUUUGAUUUCUUUUGUCUUACUUUUUUUCCUGCUUGUUAUAGGUUUCUGGUUUGUGGUUACCAUGAAGAUCCUAUUUAAUAUACUAUGCAUAUAACAGUCUAUAUAGAGUAGAUAGACUCUUUAGCUUGACCUCUUUCUAAAAUCUCUACUUUUCCACUCCCCCCUCCCACAUUAUAUGUUUUUCACAUCAUAUGUAGUCUUUUGCUUAGUGUGUGUCUUUCCAUUACCCUCUUAUCAUUGAAAU